UUUUUAAAAGAUCUAUUUAUUUAUAUUAGAGAGAGAAAGCACGUGCUGCCAACUACCUUUGCUAUUCUGAAAUUCUAUCGUUCACUGACUGACACUAGGGCAUCUCGUACUGUCAUCUCUGGCCUGCAUUCACCAUUUACCAUUGAGCCCAUAACUACAUUAAUUCCUACUCACUACUCAAUCUUACUCCUUUAGUAAAAGGAUGUUUUCUAGGCUUUCCCAGGGAACAGUCAGCUGGUAGGUCACACAAAAUAAACCCAUUCUAAGAAACCCACUACUCUGAGAUCUCCUGACCCUUUCCUUAAUAAUCUGCCCAGGCAGCUCUGAAUUCUCCUUUACUAUAGAUUACCAGUGUGUUCAAGCUUCACGUGGACAUUCUUACAGGGUGUUAGGACUUAUUGAGAAGUUAAAUAAUCAGCCACUGGAGAGUACCUUCCUAUCAAUAACCUCUCUCUUACUCAGCCUUACACACUGCGGGUUCAAGACUCUCAAGAUCUAUUACCUUAUGAAAUUCUUGGUUUCUGUUGAUAUGCUAAUCUGUGACUUUUCUUGUGAACAGUUUCCUUAUGUACUAGAGAUUCUAUUUUUCACCACUGUGCUGAGGUCUAACCCUGGUUAUUGGUGAAGAACCAAUGAGAGAAGGUUAAGGGCUCAAUAUCAUCUUGUGAGGCAACUAAGAUAAAGCCUUGAAUGGAGUCUAGGGAGGCCGUUUUCCUCCAGAAAAGGGGCAAAGAUCCUUCUCUGUAUUCCCAGAAGGCUCAGGAACCCAGAGGUUUAGAGACCUCAAGCACAUGUGCCCAAAUGUCCUCAUCUCAGUCUCAGAGUCUCUCUCCUUCCCCUUUAGGACUUGACAUUAGCCAGGAAACAUGUCAGUCUGUGCAUUCAAUCUCUUUAUAACUCUAACAAUAAUAAGAAUAAUCUAAUUCUAAUAAUCUAAGAAUAAUCAAAUUCUGGGCCGAAUUUAAAGUACAGUAUAAUUUCUGGUUUCAGAAGACAAAGAACUUUCUGAACACUGUCAUGGAGAAUUUCUGGCUUUCUCAGCAUGUUCAGAUUGAUAAGAACCUAUCAUUCUGUUUCCCCAAAGCUUUUAUAGCAGUCAACAACCACCCAACUCCACAAUCUUUGUAAUUACAAUGGCCCUAUAUCUUUUAAGUGCUGAAGCUACCGCACACAAGUUUCCUGUUCAACCUGUACUUCAUCCUAAUCUACCACAGGUAAAGUGACUAUGUCUUAGUCAUU
rnacentral:lncRNA from 1 species